UGUUUUAUCCCUAGCCAUAUGAGAAAGUGCAAUAAGGAUUCAGCUCAGAACGGUGUGAUAGAUUUAUCCGAGGAAUAAAUAGCUAUUGUGACGCUACCUCUAAAUACAGAAAUAACGCUAUAUUCUUGUGUUACGUUUUGAAUGUAUUGUUUAUCGUGAUAUUCAAAUAUCGAAGGAGGUUAAACUGUACCUAACCCCAAUCACAAUUCAUAUUACAAUAUUCCUGUUUGAUUACAAAGUAAGAUUAAGUGGUAAGAAAAUGAACAAAAAUACCUCGAUCACGUGUUUUCCUGCGAUCCUCGUAUCAAUCUUAAAAUAACGACACGCAGCCUUCGUCAGGUUCCUCUCUCCACUCCUAUUUACACGCGUGCUGCAGACAAUUAAACCUACCGCUAAAAAGGUGAAACACGCGUUUCUUCGCGUCGAAAUGGACACUGGAACCGCGCUGCCGGUUGUCAGUGUCCAGCUCCGAAUAUCCGAAAGAGCGGUUGGCCAGUAGCAAAAAAGGCAAUUCGAGCGGCGCGAACGCGGCCAAUUCCGCUCGAAUCCCAAUCCGCUUGGCGUACAAGGCAAAAAGAAGAUGUGCACGCUGUUCUACCUGGCGAGCCAAGGGAAUUAGCCUUCGGGAAUCGCGGUCGCGAUGCAUAAUGCAGGGGUAGCCGCGCUGGAUUUAUGUAACUUAAUUUGUAACGCGCGACGUCCGACUGUCCUGUCCGUCUAAGAACAAGUUCGAAGAGGAAUAAAGGGGCGGAUCAGGUGGAGGGGAUCAUCAGGAAAGCUACGCACACGCGAGACCGUGUAAUAAUGGUGAACUCGAUGAGCAAGUUUUUCACUUUGCAUGCAAUAAGCGAGCAGACUCGACGAAAUGCUGCUCCUUCCGCAACAGCGCGCCAUACCAGCGGUUUUAAUAAAAUCUCGUUGAUCUAAUAACACGAGUGUGACCGUGGCGAAAAAGAAAUCGGGCUAAGAGCCACGCUGACAAAGAGGGGGAAAGAUAUUGGGAAAUAAAGGAAGCUGGCAAGGAUGGAGAUGCUUGUCAUGGUCGCUGGUGAAAAAUGAUGGGCUGUUCCUUUUUCUUGAUUUCUCGCCAGGCAAGGCACUCUUUUGACAACUGUGAUUCGGAAUUUAUAUACAAAAUUUGCCUGCUCAGGUUUAGUACAAUUAUGGUAGCACUCUGUUUAUAUGAACCUAUCAGUAGACAAACUGAUGAAUCAAUAGAUGAAGCUUAUACAUGUAAAUUUAAUUAACAAAACAAACAGUUGAAUUUAAUGAACUUUUUUUUAAUGAAUGCAAUUGAACGUUCACUGAAAUUUACUUCAGAUAAAUAGAAGUCAUAUAAACGAAGUUCUACUGUAAACAUGUCAAUUCAAUGAACGAGAAUGCGAAAGUUCUUCUCAAUGUAUCGAUUCUACAUAAGACACAGGACAAUAGAGUGUCUUCUAACUUUACCUCGAUAAAUUCAGAAUCUACUUCCUGAAACCUCUUCGUCUUGCUCGGACCCUCAGAUGCUGCUUCAUUUAAAAGCCACAGGAAACAAGAGGUAACGCGCCACAAAUUCAAAACCAUGGUCGAACCGAUGUCGACCAGUUUUCAAGCAACAGCGAAUGAACGAAUCGUCACUGACGAUUCUUCAUCCGUCGCUAAGGAGGAUCCACGUGGUCGUUCGCGAACUCGUGGAAAGUUGAUGCUGUAGCCGUCGGAUCUUGCUCGUAUUGCGCAAAUAGGCGAACUGAAAACGCAUUGACACGGGAGAAGCCGUCUAAUGCAGAAGGGGAAGCCGAGAGGAAGGACGAUGGAAGAAGAGAAGGAAGCUGAUGCUGAAUGGCGCCCUACCUGGUCCCCAAAGUCAUAAAUCAUUUCCCCGCGAUACUACCCUUCUGCGUUUCCCUGCAGCAUAACCUCGGUGAUCGGCGACCGGCCAACAUCACCUGCGAUCCAGACUCCGUCAUCUCGAGCCUUGACCGCGUGCUCCAGGAUCAGUAAUACGUGGUGAUGCACGCGUGCGCGUCUUGAUCCGCGUAUCCUUUAGUUACCAACAAGUUUACGACGACCUCAGUGAUGGUUUCUUUGUUAACAGAAUUUGUUUGUUGAGAAAGCAAGAGAGCUUGGAAUUGGAAGAACAGUGGAUCAUCACGUCGAUGGUACGGCCACGUGGAUUUGGCAUUGAAAAUAAGAAUACAACAAUUGGACAACGAUGGAACAAUUUGGACAAUUGGUUGUUAAAACUGUAGAAGUGGUUCGUUUGGUUUUAUGAAGUAAACGUCCUUUUUAAAUCGUCAAAGGAUUUUCUAUGAGAAACAUAAUUUGUUUAUUAGAACAACUGCUGUAUUGUUGUGGUUUAUUCUAAGUCAAGUUUAUUCUAAUUGGAACUGUUUCCUUACAAAAAUCAUAUUGUAUUCAGUUUCUUCAAAUUCCAGUGCAUUAGACGGUACUGUUACAUCUUGGCAUUUAUUAUUAAAAGAAAAAUCUAUUUGGAGAAGGUUAGAUAAAUUAGUUAAGAAGGUUAGUAUAAAAUAGUUGUAUUUAUAGAAAGGGUACGUUUUCUAGUUUGUUAAUAAAUCAUUUUGAUUGAUC